rnacentral:rRNA from 1 species
AUAUAAAAAGUAAUUCAAAGGGGUUAUUAAGGAAAACUAAGGCAAAUUUAUUUAAAAGGAGGUUUAAAACCAAAAGCUUCAAGAAAUAUUAAUUUAUUUCCCGAUAUGAAAAUAAGCGAUCCUAAGGUAAACCUUGUUAAUUAAUUACUUCCUGAAGUAAAACAUUUUAUUAGGGAAAGGAAAGGAAAUCAACCGAGACUCCGAAAGUAAUGGUGAGUGAAAUCGGAUUAGCCUAAAUUAAUACAAUAAAUUGAAUAACUUAAAGAUCUUUAUUAAAAAGUGAAUUUUGUUAAUUCUUAACCUUCCAACUACCCUCCCCUAUCCCGUAAGGGAAGGGGAUAGGGAAAUAAAAGAAGGGUCCCUUUUACCUAUACUUCAAAGUACAGGAAUCACAACCGCAGGGUCAGGAUCAAUCAAAUAAGCUUAAUUUAAAGAUAUAUUAGUUAGCAUACAUUUUUAGUUAUGCUCUAAAGAAGGUCAAAAACUCUAAGUCCUGUAGAUUUAUUUAUUAAUUAAAAAAGAAUAAAUUAGUAUAAUAUAAAAAUUUUAAUAAAAAAAUUAAAAAAAGUAAUUUGUUAAGUUAUAUAAUUUUUAAUCGUUAAAUUUUAUUAUAGUAUAUUAAAAAAGUUAUUCUAACCAAAGUACGAUGAGAGAAAACUUGUCGGAAUAUAGGGGUACCAUCCUCUAAGGCUAAGUAUAAUAAAUUUAGCGAUAGUGAAUAAGUACUGUAAAGGAAAAGUUUGAAAAGCGAGUGGUAUACAAAAAGUGAAUUAUAAAAUAAAUUAAUAUUAGUAAAAAUAAUAUUAAAAUUUUAUUAAUGAAUCGGUGAAAUAGAUCAUGAAUUAGUAACUCUAUAAGCAGUCGAAAUUCUACUUUAAAACAUAAAAGAUUAAUGAAUGACGGCGUACCUUUUGCAUAAUGGGUCAGCAAGUUAAUAGGAGUAGCAAGGUUUAAAGCCCUAGCGAAAGCGACUGGACUAUAAUUUGUAUAAAUACAUAUAGUGAUGGAUAAGUUACUUCUAUUAGACCCGAAGCCAGGUGAUCUUACCAAGACCAGAUUAUAAUGGAUCGAACGGGUGAAUGUUGCAUAAUUCUCCGAUGAGUUUUGGUAAGCGGUAGUAUUUUGCCGCAUUGAAAAGUGAUUUUCAUUUUAAAUCUAGCUCAUAACGGUGAAACCUAAGGAUCAAUAAAUCUAUGGCAAUACCGUGGGAAGUUGUAUCAUUCUAGAAACAAAUAAUUUAUUUAUUUUUAUUCAAAUAGAAUUUGAAUAGCUUGAUAUUAACCCCGUAACGACUUUAAUUGAAAAAUUAAGGCUUUUAAAAAUAAAAGGUUUUAAUACCUCGACCCUAUAAUUAAAAAAAGGAAACAGGAUAAAAAUCUAUAAAUUAAAGGCAACACGCUAGCACUCUACAGUUUCAAAUAAUUAUGGUUAAUCUUCUAUCCAAGAAGAAAAUAUUUAAUUUAAAAUUUCAUCUAAAUUUACCCAUUUAAAAAAACUAUGUAUUAAGUAAGUCUGCUGCUAACAUAAUAACAGUAUAAAAUUAAAUAAAUAAAUAAAAAUGAAUAUGACAAAAAAUUAUAAAUUUACAGGAGACUGGAUCUCAGGAUUUACUCAAUCAGAUGGUAGUUUUAUAAUCUCCUUUUUAAAUAAAAAAAAAGGAGUAUUUAUUAGACCUCAGCCGGUAUUCAAUAUAACUCAAUCUAUUGUUGAGUUAGAAAUGUUUAUAGCUUUACAAAAAUAUUUAGGAGUUGGAAAAAUCUAUAAAAACAGAAAAAAUGUGGUUUUUGUAGUAAAAUCUAUCGAUGAAAUAGUAGAUGUAAUUUUACCUUUAUUUGAUAAACAUCCCGUAAGAGCUGGAAAGUUAUUAGCUUAUAAUAUUUUUAAAGAAGUUUCUUUAAUGGUUAAAAACAAAAAACAUUUAACUGAUGAAGGAACAUUUAAAAUUUUAAAAUUAGCAUAUUUUAUGAACAAAGAAACUUCAUUACGUAAUGAAGAUAGUUUAAAAUCUCUUACAGAUAAGCUAGUUUUAAAAACCGAUAAUUCAGAACCUGAUAUAACAAAUAUGACAAUAGAAAGACUAAACAAUACUGGACCUUUAACAUUUGAAUUUGUUAGAGGGCUAGUAGAUGGUGACGGUAGUUUUAAUGUUUCAUUUGCUACUACAAGGAGAAGAGUCGGAGUUAACUUUACAGUUGUUAAUGAACUUUCUUCUAUCUCUGUUUUAAAUGAAUUAGUUGAAUUUUUUAAAUGUGGUACUGUUUAUAAAUUACCUUCAGCUGCUGCUCGAUUUCAAGUUCAAUCAGUAGAAGAUAUUUUAAAUAAAAUAAUACCUGUUUUUAAAAAUACAGAAUUUAAUACUAAAAAACAAGAACGUUUUAAAAUAAUUAUUAAAAUUUGUGAACUAAUAAAGGAAAAAGGGUAUUCUAAUAAUGCUGAUUUAAAAGCUAUUGUAGAUAUAGCUUGGGAUAUGAAUAAUACAGGUCGUAGAAAAAUAAGUAAAGAAGAGUAUUUGAAUUUAUUUUGUAAGUCUUAAAUUAAAUAAAAAAUUAACCUAAAAUUAUCGUAGAGUUGAAGGUAUAGUCUGAACUGUAUCUAAAGAUACAGAAUAACAUAAUUGGAAAUGCCAAUCUGACCUGGUGCUAGCUGGUUUUCUACCGAAACAUAUUUAAGUAUGACGUCUACACAAAAUUUAUGGAGGUACAGCAAGGCAAUUCCCAACAAGUUUAAGGGUUGUGUCCCCUAUCCUUAUCUCUAUCCCUGAUACCCCGUAAGGGAUAAAAGGGACAGGGAAGGGAAAGGGAAAUCACAACUACCUUUUAGGCGUUUAGGUUGCGGGGACCUCGAAAAUCUUACCUUUGGAAGCGAAUCUCGGAAUUACAUAAAUUGAUGGUAGAUAUUCAGACUGCUCAUGCUAAGUUGGGUAGUCAAGACGGAAACAGCCGAGAACACUGAUCAAGGUCCCAAAUGAUUGUUAAGUGAAAUUAAGGACGUAGCAAUAUCGUAUACAGCUGUGAAGUGAGCCUAGACUAAAAAAGGACUACUGGGCUCAUAAUCAAAAAACUGAGCUAUAUGCAAGAAACCCCUAAAGCUUUAAGUACUUAAUUCAUUAUAAAAUUUACCCGUUUACUUUAUCAUAAAGGGUCUCGAUCCGCAAGGAAGGGCGAGGGAGAAAUAUAAAAAUAAAAAGAAUUAAAAAGUGAAAAUCUUAAAGAUAUUACAAUGGGCAAUUUGCAGGAAACCAAAUAUUUUAUUAUCCCGUAUCCCGUACGGGGUCGGGGUAUUUUUAUUUUAAAGAAUAAAGUAGGAUCCUCAACGACUACACGCUUAGAAUAAUUUUAAAUUAAAUUAUUAUGACAUAGUCUAAUCCAAUAUGAAAGUAUUGGUAGUGGGCCGAGAAAGAAACGGCCUUCCUAUAAAUCAAUUUUGUAUCUCUUUCGAUUAAAAUUUAAAAUAGCUAGAAAGUUGUUGGUUCGACUUAUCACUGAGAAGGCUAGCCCCCUAAUCUUAGUUAAAAUAGUAAAAAAUUUUUUAAUCUACAAAAUUAACAUUAAAUCUAUAAUUUAAAACAAAGCUACAAAUACAAAAUUAUUAAUGAACCAAAACACUAAUCAAUUUAAAUUGUCUCCAGGAUAUAUUAGUGGUUUAACUCAAACCGACGGGUCUUUUUUUUGUUCUAUCAUUUUAUCUCCAAAACAUCGUUUUGGUAUUCAAUUUAGACCUAAAUAUACUAUUACAGCUGAUUUAGAUUCUAAAUAUGUUUUAGAUAGUAUAAAUUCUUUUUUUAAUUGUGGUAAAGUAACAAUAAACAAUAAAAAUCAUACUGCUGAAUUUGAAGUAGUAAAACUUGAUGAAUUAAAUAAAAUAAUAAUCCCUCAUUUCUAUAAUUAUCCGGUUUUUUGUGCAAAAUUACAUGCAUUUAAAUUAUUUACAGAAAUAGUAACUGCAUUAAAUAAUAAAGAAAAAAGAACGAUAGAAGGAAGAAGAGAAUUAUUAAAAUUAGCUUUAUCAAUGAAUACUACUACAAAUAGAAAAGUAGAAAGAAUAGAUUAUUUAUUUUCUUUAUUAGAAGUAUUUGACAGUGAAGAUAAAAAUCUGUUAUUAAAUAAUAUUACAGAAAUAACUACUCCAUUAUCUGAUGAUUUUAUUUCAGGCAUUAUAGAUGGUGAUGGUAGUUUUUAUAUUUCUUUCCAAAAAGAAGGACAAAUAAAAACUGGAUUUAAUAUUACUAAUGAUUUGAAUUCUAAACCUUUAUUAGAAAAUAUACAAAAACAAUUAAAAAAUAUAGGUUCUAUUCAUAAAGGAUCUAAAAAUGAAUUAGUUUAUACAGUAACUGGUUUAAAUCAAAUUAAUGAUAUUUUAAUUCCAUUUAUAGAUAAUAAUCCUUUAUUUUCAGAACGAGCUUUACACUAUAUAAAAUUUAAAACUGUAAGUAUAAUGUUAAAAAAUGAACAACCUUUAAGUUUAGAAAGUAAAUUAAAGAUAGUAGAAUUAGCCUAUAAUAUGAAUAAAAAAGGAAAACGUCGAAAUUUAAGUAAAUCACAAUACAUAGAAAAUUUGAAACAAGUAUAUAAAUUUUCUCCUAUGCCCUGUACGGGUGCUACGCAUGUGUAGUUAUUUAACCCCCCUACACUUUAAUUUUUUGCCCCAUAUCCCGAUCCCUUUAUAAUUAAGGGGGAGGAGUGGAAUAAGGUAAAGGAAAAAUAAAAAGUAUCCCUCCCCAAAGGGGUGGGGGAGGUAAAUAAAAAAAGAAAAAGAAGAAAGUUCAAAUAAACUAAGUAUUAAUAAAAAUUAUAGAUUUAAGUAGAAAAGUAGCUAUAGGAUAAUGGGUAGUCGCUACUUUUAAUGAUCGUAUGUAACAACGCAUCAGCAGUCUAGAUAGUAGCGCCGAAAAUUUAACGGGUCUUAAACAAUCAACCGAUAUCGUGUUGGUUUAGAAUAAAAUACCUAAAUACCCCGUGUCCCUAUCUCUAAUCCCUUAUUAAUCCAGGGGAAGGAGAGGGUCAGGAUAAAAUUUAUAUUUUUAUUCUUAAUCUAGGUAGUAGAACAUUCAGUCAAACUAAUUAUAAAAUAGUGUUUCAUUAUUUUUUAGGUUACUGAAGAGAGAAUGCUGACAUGAGUAACGUAAAAAGAAGUUAUAAUACUUCUCGCCGAAUACGAAAGGGUUGCAAAUAGGAAAGGUUAAUCCGUUUUGUUUUAAUGCGGCCUCUAAGGACCAGAACCAAAGUUUUGGCUGAUGAGUAUAUAAUAGAAAGUCCAAUUUAUAAAAUAGAAUGGACCAGGAAAUUAAUAUUAUUAGUAAUUUAUUUUACAGUACCACCCACCCCUCCCUAUCUCUCCCUUUACCCCUGUCCCUUUGUAAAUACGGGAUCGGGAUAUUAAGAAGAGAUAGGGCAGCGGGAUAGGGGUAAUUUUUUUUCGAAUUAUAUUUAAAUAUAAAAUUAAAAAUCUCUAAAUAUUACCUUAUAGUGUUUAGUAUUUGUUAUUACAUUAUUCAAAUAUAUUUAAUAUUGAAGGUUUUAAUCAGAUUAGCAGUCGGUGAAAACUUUUGGUUUAAAACAUUAUUAAUAGUUUUGUUUUAAACAAAUAUAAAUAAAUUAGUUAAUUUAAAUAACUUACUAAUAGGUUUUAGAAUUUUUAUUUAUAUUAAUAAAUAUGUAUUAAGAAAUUUAGAUUAGCUGUUAAGAUUUAUUACUUAAUUUUAUAUUUUAUUAAAUUGGCAAAAUUGUGCCAUAUAAAUUUUAUUAAUUUAUAAAUAAAAAAUAAAUAGUUAAAGGUUAUUUUAUGUUAAUUUUUGCUUUACAUAAAUUGGGGUUUUUUUUCUAUUUUUAAAUUAAAACCUUCUAAUAUCUGACACUAAGUUAUUAGAAAUAGGAAUAAUUUAGUUAUAGAAAGAUUUAUUAAAUUUUUAAUAAGUUAAUACCUAAUUAAGGUUUUGUCUCCCCCCUAUUUGGAGUAUUUUAAAUUAACUUUGACUUUUUUAGGUAAAAUAAUCAAAUUAGUCCCUUAAAGAAUAAAUACAAAUCACUAUCCGAUGUCUACUAAAAUUUUAGAAAAAACUAAGAUUUAAAGUAUACUAGUUUAAUCUUUUAACUAAUUUAAGCCCAUCUCUUGCUUAAGAGUCAAGCAUUCUUUUCCUUUCCCAUCCUUGUGUAAAUACAGGGGCGGGAUAAAAAUUUUACUAAACACCGCUCCCUUCCCUACCCUUUUUUACAAAGGGAUAGGGGCGGGGUAGGUAGGUAAGAGAGGAAGAGUGGAAAGUGAUGGGAGACAUUUAUUUAUAUUUAUAAAUAAAAUCAAAAAUAGAUGAACUUUAUAUCACAUACACCCUUGUUUAAUUUACAUUUAUUAUUCUUUUUAUGUUAUAUUAACUUAACUAUUAAUAUAACUUUAUUUAGCUAAAUUUUAAUUAAUAUUAAAUGUAAGUUUAAUUUAUUUUUCAUUAAAAAUUUUAAAAUAGGGUUUAAGAAAAAUGGUUAAAUAUCUAUUAAAAAGUAGGUUAGUUGUAUAUAAUUGUCUAGUUAUAAAGAAUAACUAUUAUUUGUUUACUAGUAUAAAUAAAAUAAUAAUUUAUCUCUAAAUUUAUUAAAUAUAAAAUAUCAAACUACCGUACCCUAAACCGACACAGGUUCGUAGGUAGAGUAUACUAAGGCGUAGAGCUAAAAGUUGUUAAGGAACUCGGCAAGUUCACCUGCAAUGCGUUAUUGGAAAACGCUAAGAUGGGUAAAACUAUCAAACUCCGGGGAACCCCUAAAGCUUAUGGUACCAAACUAUAUCCGAAAGGCUAUAAGUGGAUGAAUUAAUUACUCAUGUAUGGUAAUAAGUCAUAAGAUAGAUGAAAAGAAAAUGGGCAAUCGCGGAUCUAAGUCAGACUUCUCCCUUUCUCUCCCCUACCUUUAUUCCUUAUUAUUUAAAGGAAGGGUUAGGGGUACUGGGUCGGGGCAAUUGAAAUCUGUAAAAGAGCAACGAGUAGACGGUAGUUGGUGUAAUAAUUCUAAAUUAAUGCGCUUAAGGUGUACUCUAAUGGGUUUCGAAAGAAAUUAUCAAAUCAAAAUCCAUUCUAAACAAUUAAAUAAAUCGAAUUUUUCUACUUUAAAUUGCAAACCUGGACUAAACCCGUGGUUUAUCACUGGGUUUACAGAUGCUGAAGGUUGUUUCUCUGUUUCAGUAAAACCCGAUGCCAAAUUAAAAACUAAAUGGAGAGUUUCUCCUCUUUUUAUUAUACAACUACAUUUAAAGGAUUUAGCUAUAUUAGAAGAAAUUAAAAACACACUAUCCCGCCACCCCUUUGGGGAGGGGGAUGUGGGUAAAAUAAGAAAAAAUGGAAAAAAUAUGUGUCAAUAUGUUGUGGAAUCAUUUAAAGACUUACAAGUAAUCGUAGAUCAUUUUGAUAAAUAUACGCUUAUUACUGCCAAGGUUUCUGAUUAUUUAAUAUUUAAACAAUGUUUUGAAAUGAUUAAGCAGGGAGAACAUUUAACGGAAAAAGGUGUUUUAAAAAUAGUAAGUUUUAAAAGUUCACUUAAUUGGGGGCUUUCCGAUAAUUUGAAAAAAGCUUUUCCAAAUGUUAAACCUGUAAAUAGACCAGAAUAUUUAUUUAAAGGUAUAACUGAACCUUUCUGGGUUGCAGGAUUUACUAGUGGUGAGGGAUCUUUUAAUUUAAUUAUUAGGGCCCCAGAAACUAAAAAAAGUUCCAGUGUCUCAUUAAGAUUUUCAUUAAAUUUACAUAUUAGAGAAAAAGAAGUUAUUAAAGGUCUGGCUACCUUUUUUAAGUUAUAUGAAACUAAAGUUUACCUGGUAUCGGACAAAACAACUUAUGUUAAAUAUAGUAAUAUUUUUAUAUUAGAAAAAAGUGUAGGUCUUCAAAUUUCAAAAAUUUCAGAUAUAGUUAAUACAAUAAUUCCGUUUUUCGAAAAGUACCAUCUAGUAGGAAUAAAAAGCUUUGAUUUUGCAGAUUUUAAAAAAGUAGCAUAUAUGGUAAAAAAUAAAGAGCAUUUGAGUCCAGAAGGUUUAAACAAAAUAUUAGAGAUAAAAUCUACCAUGAAUCAAAAUAGAUGUUGGUAAAUACCCCCUUACCCCCGUAUCCCUCCCUACCCCAACCCUUUUUAAUUAAGGGGUCAGGGAGGGGCACGGGGUCGGAAAUUUAAAAAGGGAUAGGGGAAGAGGUAUAUUUAUUUAAUUGCAUGAUAAAUUUGAUAGCCAUGCAUAAGUUUGACGAAAAGAGGGACCGCAUUAUAAUUAAAAUUUUUAAUAAUUACUCUUGAACGCUACGGACAAAUCCUUAAUUUUAAUUAAGGAAGACUUUUAAGUUAACCCCUUACGGGAUAGGGUGGAUAGGUUAUUAAAAUAAUUAAAUAUAAGGCGGUGGCACAGAAUCGGAGGCCCCGACUGUUUACUAAAAACACAACACAGUGCAAUCAUUAAUAUGAUAGUAUACUGUGUGAAAUUUGCCCGAUGCCAUUAAUAUAAGAGAGGUCAUGGGGAACUGUGACUAAUCGAAAAUCUGGUUAAUAGCGGUCUUAACUAUGAGGAUCCUAAGGUAGCAAAAUAAGUUGGCCAUUAAAUGUGGUCCGGUAUCAAUAAUGUAACGAUGGCCUCACUGUCUCUACAACUUGCUCAGUGAAAUUGAAUUACGCGUGCAGAUGCGCGUUGCCUCCAGGGGGACGGGAAACUUAAAUUGAAAACCUGGAGUUAGUUUUAAAUAACUAAAAAAAUAGCGACUAGAUAAGUUUACAAUAGCAAUACGGUGUAAUUCCGUCUUAUAAUCCAUAAUUUGAGCUCUAAUAGAGUGCGUUGAAAGUAAUUUUAAAGCAUAAAGCCUAUGAAUAAGAGCUAGAUACCUAGGGGCAAUGUAAUGUGAAUUCACGUUUGAAGCGUAAUAUUGAUUGUAGAAAGACUUUCCCGUGUUUUUCUUAAUGGAUCUUAAUAUCUUAUUACGUAUAGUGGAGUCCUAAGGGUAUUAUUAAAGUGUUAUUGUAGAAACUAGGUAAGCCCAAUAACAACCAAUAUUAAAUUGGAGUUUAAUCUGUGAAGAUUAAUAACUGUUAGUGGGUAGAGGAAAUUCAAAAAAGCAAAUGCCUUAUUGUAAUGAUGAGGAUAGGUUAAAUUUAACUAAUCUGAAAAGAUGCCCACUUUGAAUUAGUGUUAAGUGUUUAUCCCGCGUUGUACUCUCCGACCUUUUAAUUAAAAGGGAAGGGGUAGCGCAGGCAAAUUAAAAUGUUAAGCCUUACUUCAAAUAAUAUCAAUUCUAAACUCAAUCUAAUUAAACUUGUAUUAUGCUAAUUCUACUUCUAUGUAUUUUAUGCUGCUAACAUAUAUAAAAAAAAUUUAUAAAAUAUAAAAAUUUAAGAUGAAAAACAUAAAUAAUAUUAACAACAGAGAUUUUACAAACAAAAGAUUAAUUGGUAAAUUAUUGCCUUGGCAAGUAACAGGAUUAACAGAUGGUGAAGGAGGGUUUAUAUGCUCAAUAUCACAUACUGGAAAAGGAUUAACAGGUUAUUCUGUAAAAUUAGAAUUUAAAGUUACACAAAAAACUCACUCAGAAGGUAUUCUUCAUGAACUUAAAGAAUAUUUUGGGUGUGGUAAUGUAGUUAUAGAUAAUAGAAGUACAGAUACAAUGAAGUUUCAGGUAAAAUCUAUAAAGGAUAUAUUAGAAAAAGUUAUACCUCAUUUUGUAGAAUACCCUUGUUUAACCUCUAAAUUUUUAAAUUUUAGAGAUUGGAAAGAGAUAGCUACAAUUAUAAGUAAAAAAGAACAUCUAACUAAUGAAGGAUUAGAUAAAAUUAAGAAUAUUAGCUCAUUUAUGAACAGUAAACGACCUUUCGAAGAUAAAUAUAAUCAUUGUAAGUCUUUUUUAGGUUUUAGUGUUUUAGCAGAUGGAAAAUAUAACAUUAAUUAUAACUUACCUCCUCAUUGGGUUCAAGCCUUUUUAGACGGUGAAUCAAGUUUUUAUACUUAUGUUUCGGAUAAAACUGAAAAUAUUAUAGUAAACUCUUCACUAGAAAUAGGACAAAACAGUCAUGAUAUUUUUAUUUUAUUAGCAUUAAAAAAAUUUUUUAAUGGAGGUUACAUUAAACCUAAAUAUAAAUAUGAAGAUAUCUUAGAAUGUUUAAAUUCAAGAUUAGUUAAUAGAUUUAUACUUAGAGAAACGGAAACUAUUAUAAAUUUCGUCGAAAAUUACCCUUUGUUAACUAGAAAACACUUAGAUUAUUUAGAUUGGAAAAAAAUAGUUGAAUUGAAAAAAACAAAACAGCACCUAAAUGCUGAAGGUUUAGAUUUAAUAAAACUAAUUCGUUCUGGUUUAAAUUCUAAUCGAGAUUCUAAAUAAACUUUAUAACUUUUUUAAAUAAACUUAAACUUAAUGCUUGAGCUGUAUGCGAUGAAAGUCGCACGUACAGUUCUUAGAGGAUGUUAUAGUAGUAAUACUUAACGUAGCCUCAACAGACCCUAUGCAGCUUUACUGUAGUUAGUUAUCACAUGGAUCUAGAACAACUUUAGUUAAUAGCAAAUAGGGAAGUCGAUAGACAAAUACUGGAAACCUUAUAACUAAGGUUGGGUUUAUGUUUACCUUAUAAUUAAAAACAAAAGGGAGAGUUGACUAAUUGGCAGUUUGACUGGGGCGGUCGUCUUUAAUAGAGUAGCAAAGUACAUCCAAAUAUUUUUUAACUAAAAGAAGGUAUAUGCGUAAGCAAAACCUAAAUUUAAAUAUUAGAUCUUAAUAUUUAAAACAAAUAACUUAUUCUCUAUGUUGAAAUAUUAAAAAUUUUAAUACAGAGGAAAGUAAUAAUUAAUUGAAAUAUUAAUUAACAAACAAAAUAAAAACUUUCUCUUUACAAAACUUCUGUUACCAUUUGUAAUUUUAUUUCAAGUGCCAGAUGUUAGUGAUCCCUACUCUUAUAGGACUAAAAUUAAAUUCUAUUUGGAAUUUAGUAUUAAUCCCUCCCCUUUAUUUUAAAGGGAUACGAGUAGGGUCAAGAGUUAGGCUAAAAACAAAAACACACUAAAAAUUUUAAUAAAGGUAUAGCUAGAAAUUGAAUGGAGAUCAAUCAACCAGUGAAGGGUUGCGCAGAGUUCAAUGGCGGUAAGCAUGCUUAACUGAAAGACCUAAAAGUCGCACAGAUACGUAAGUAGGGCAUAGUGACCCCUCGCUAUAAAAUGGGAUAGACGGGGAUCAAUUAAUAAAAGUUACGCUAGGGAUAACAGGCUGAUAGCCGACGAGAGUACACAUUGUCUCGGCUGUUUGGCACCUGGGUUUUGAAAUAAAAAUUAUGUAAUAAAUUCUAUUUAUAUUUAUAUUUAUAUUUAUAAACAAGAUACCCUCAAAGUCUCAUUUAUAUCGGAAGGUUUUAAUUUAAUUUAUUAAAUUAUUAUGUUUCCCCCCAAUUCCUCCUUACUUUUCCCUUAUAAAUUAAGGGGCAGGGAAUGGGGGCACGAGGAAGGGGAGAGACUGUCUUUUUAAAUAUGAAGGCCAUUUAAAAAAUUUAAAAUAAAAUGAACAAAGCACUUAAAGAAAUGUUAGUUGGAGUAAUAUUAGGGGAUGCCCAUAUCAAAAAAACUGGAUUAAAUAAAGCUUUUAUUUCUUUUGAACAAUCUAUAAAAAAAUUAGAUUAUUUAAACCAUCUACUUACUAUUACUAAAAACGAAGGAUUAUCUUUAAUGAAUGACAAACUUAGAGAAUACACAAGAACAGAUCUUAGAAAUAGUUCUAUAAGCCAGUCAGGAUAUUUUAGAACUCAUUCAAUUGAACAACUAAAACCAAUAGCUGAUUUAUUUUUGGAUUAUUCUGGUAAGAAAGUUAUACCACUCAACAUCGCAGAACAUUUAACACCAAGAAGUUUAGCUUUUUGGAUAAUGGAUGAUGGUCAACAUGUAAAAAAUGGAGGUUUAACUUUAUGUACUACCCCCCCGUAAUUACAAAGGGAUGGGGUAGUUUUAAAACAGCUGAGAUUGAACUUCUUAGAGAAGCUCUUAAACAAAAUUUUAAUCUUGAAACUUCUAUUCAUAAAAAAAGAAAAAAAUGACAGUGAAAGUUUUUAUGAAAGAAUUUACAUUAAAAAGAAUAGCCUCCCCCGUAUCCCUAUCCCUGUAUAAUAAAGGGGUCCCGUAUUUACAAAGGGAGGGGUGGGAGAAAUUACAGCUCAGUUAAAGCCCCAUAUGCAUGAAUCAAUGUUAUAUAAACUUAAUUAACCAUGAAUAAAUUUAAAUUAAAAUGAUGAACCUGCCCCGUGUCCCUUCCCUGUACCCCUAUCCCUGAAGGGAAAGGGAUAAUACGGGAAGGGAAGGGGUCGGGAUAUAAUUAAACAAGAUUCUUCCGAAAUAGAAAGUGACUCAGAUAUUAUUAUUGAUAUUUUUUACAUCGGGGGAUUUUAAUAGCAAUGUUAAUUUAGAAGUUGGCUAUUUGCUGGAACACCCUUAGAGCUUUCAAUACUAGUUAUUUAAAUCUUAUUUUAGAUAACUAGUGAAAAUUUGAAAGAUUGGGCAAUCAGCAGGGAAGUUAUUAAUUUUAGGUAUAAGCAACCGUAAAAUUUUUAACCCCUCAACGAUCACACGCCAAGAUCCAGAGCUUUACCAUUCUACUCUUGGUACUGGAUUAAGAUAUGAUCUAAACUUAACUGAAAAGUUAAGAGUAUUAGUUUUAUUCAGACUAAUACAAUAAUGCGAUGUCGACUCAUCCUAUCCUCCGGGGGAAGAAGCUUGGAAGGGUUCGGCUGUUCGCCGAUUAAAAGGGUACGUGAGUUGGGUUUAAUACUCAAAAUUAAAAGUUCGUAAAUAUUAUAACAAAAAUUAAAUUAUCCCGUAUCCCCUCACCCCUACCCCGUGCCCCCGAAGGGGAGGGGAGGAGAGGGAUCGGGGUCGGGGUCGAAGGUAUACUAAAAUUUAUAUUAAAAGAGAUAAAAAUUAGAUUAAAUUUUAAUUUUUAGAAUCUUACAUCAAAGUACAAUCUAAUGAGAUCUUUUUAAACAAUCAGAUCUUUAGCUUAAAAUUUUAAGUCAGUAAAAUUAGAUGGAUUAAAUUUUAAUAAAAAUGAAUAAAAAUAUUUUAUCUGGAAAUCUUCAUUCUGUUUUAAUCGGGAUAAUGUUAGGAGAUGGACAUAUUUAUAAAACUUCUCCAAGUAGUAAUAGUAGAUUUGAGAUGUCUUUUGGUAAAGACAGAAUUCACUUUGCUCAUUGGGUAGGUGGUUUAUUUAGUGAAUAUUUAAGUAAUGAUCUUAAAGUAAUUAAAUAUAAAACAAAUAAUUUUUUUAAUUCUAGAUUUGGUUUUAGAUUAAAAACUAAAACUUUACCUAUUUUUAAUUAUUAUCAUGAUAUAUUUUAUGAAGCUAAUAAUUUAACUUGGAAAUAUAAAAAAAUAGUACCUAAAAAUAUUUCAGAACUUAUGGAUUCUACUGUUUUAGCUUAUUUAAUAAUGAGUGACGGUAAUUUUGAUAAAGGAAGAAAUAGAAUCAGAAUUUAUACUAAUAGUUAUACUAAAGAAGAAGUAACUAAACUAGCAAAUGUUAUUAAUAAUAACUUUAAUAUUUAUGUUGGAGUUUUACAUGAUAGAAAAGAUCAAUGGAUUUUAACUAUAGGUAAAAAACAAUUAGAUUUAUUAAGGGAAACAGUAAAACAUCACUUUGAACCUAGUAUGCUAUAUAGAUUAGGUUUAUAAAAUACAAACUUUUAAUUAAAAAGAGCCCCUUUAAAUAUAAAAAUUUAAAGAAAACCGGAGAAAUUGCAAGGAAAACUAUUUUAAAUAGUCAAUUUGCAGCCGAGCUUGAAUAAAGUGAACGAUAAAAAAAUCGGUUUAUCAAGAAGGUUCAACGACUAACAGGUGAGUAUCACAAACAAUAAGCCUGACACGAAUUUCCGGCGUUAAUCUAAACAUUAACGAUGACAUAGUCUGAACAGUAGCGUGAGUUACUGAGGUAAAGAAUAAAGAGUCUUUACAAUAACAUAAUUGUUAAUACGACGUGAGUCAGUAUGGUCCCUAUCUUCUGGAGGGAUAAUUAGUAAAAAGGGGCAGACCUUCUAGUACGAAAGGAUCAAUAGGCUGUGUUUCUCUAGUGUACCAAUUGUUUGUACUUUUUUGUAAGGAACUCAAAGUAUCUUGAAGGCAAAAGUAAAGAAAAAUGGGAAAAAUCCUUUUUCAAAUUUAAGUUUUCCAGCCUCUCCCUCCCUACCCCGCAAGGGAUUAGGGUACGGGGCAAAAAGGUAAAGGAUAAAUUUAAAUUUGAAAUAUCUGUAAAUAAGGUAUUAAAAAAAAGGUCACAAAAUCGGAACGCAUAGUUGGGUAGCCACAAACAUAAUAGAUAAGUGCUGAAUGUCUAUAAAGCGAGAAUCUAACCCCUAGAUACUAAAAAUGAUUAUUUAUCUUAAUUACAAUCUUUUUAAUAAUUCCUUAUCUUUAGGUAAUGGAAUGAAAAGAAUUUUAAGCUGUACAAUGUACAGGUCCUGUGCGGAAGGGAGAAAAAUAUCAUUAAUUUUUAAGAAAUAGAACAUUUCUAGAUAGGCUGCAAAUGAACGUAUUGUAAAAUAUUAAGUUUAGCAGUACUAAUUUAUAAA